rnacentral:lncRNA from 1 species
CCCCUUCACCUUAGAUUCUUUUCUCAAUCUUUCUUCCUCGGAUUCCUAGCACAUCAGAAUGAAGGGUCGGAAUGUAACUUCAGUACUUUCAUAAAAGGAGCCACUCAAACUAGCAAACAGAAAUCUUACAGUGUCUCGGCUAGGGCAGAGCAAAUAUCAAAAAACUGAAAAACCAAAAUGUUAAUUAUUAUUAAACUAAACCAAACCGUUUUUAUAGGAUAAAUGAAGCAAAUCAAACCGAAAUAUAUCACUUUGGUUCGGUUAUAAACCGUUGCUUAUGGAAGCCCAAAUUAGCGAAUUCAACAUAAAAAAUUUCACAUAUUACACUCAAAAUCUCAGCAUUCGCAUUUCACAACCACAAUCAAAAUGGCAAUCACAGAUAAACAGUUCCAACAGUUCCAAAAUGGCAAUCACAAUCACCAUCACAGAAAGCAAGGGGAGAAGACCCAUAAAGCUUUAAAGUUUAAAGGGGCAAUAAGGAACCAGGGCAUGCAUGUGCCAUCUUCAUCACAUGCAGAUCCAUAUUCAUAAGACUAUACAAUCGGUGAAGAACCGAGGCCAACUGCCAAGGCAAUGAAGGCCAAACUGUUGGUUGAAGUGAAGGCAUGAGGGUGAGGGCUGAGGGUCAAGGCCCCGCUCAACUGAGGGGAAAGGGAAGACGGUCAUGUACUGCACUCACAUUUAGAGGAAGAGAAACGGGAUUGGGAGCUGAAAGCAUGUGUCCGUAUUCUAUCUAGCUGCUGGAGGCGAGAAAAGUAAAGGAAAAUUAGGGUUAAAAGGUUUAGGUGUUAUAUAGUCAGCCAAAACCCCCAAAAUGACACUAUGCUUUUGGUUCGGUUGAGUUCAUCAUUUUGGUUUUUCAACUGAAUUAACGAAACCGAAAAAACCAAAUUGAUUUGUGUGGGUUGUCAGUUAUAACCAAAAACUGUCGCCCUAGCUUCAGCAGCAUCUUUUGCAGCUCUAAAGCGCCGAGACCAUUGUUGAUUUAUUUUAGCUUUAGGUGGAACCCCAU